rnacentral:rRNA from 1 species
AGCUACCUAUUUAAGAGUAUUAGCUCUUAUGAUUAAUGUUAAAUAUAUUUCUUUUAAAUAUUUAGGUAGGGGCGAAACGCCUACAAUUCUUUUGAUAUCUGGACUUUAAUUAAAUGUAUUUAGUACAGAAUCAUUUUUGAGAUAAAAGAUAUUAAGGUCUUUUAUAAUUUUAAACUUCAUUAACUCUUUUCUUCAUGAAGUAAUAUCCAAUAAGUUGCCUGAACUUAUAAUUAUUCUUUGAUAAUUUAAAUUAAAUAAUUAAAUAUACUAAAUAAUAUACUUUUAGUGUAAAUCCUGCUUAAAUUAGUAUUACUUCUAAUCUCCUUCUAGGAACUAGGCAAAUAUAACCCUUCGACUGUUUAUCAAAAACAUAGCUUGAUGAAUAAUUAAUAUUAAGUGUCUUCUGCCCGGUGUGUCUUAAUAAACGGCCGCGGUACCCUGACCGUGCUAAGGUAGCAUAAUCAAUUGGCCUUUAAUUGGGGUCUAGUAUCAAUGAAGUUACGUAGGGUUGCUGUCUUGUAGGAGUUUAAUAAAACUUUCUAUAUGAGGUGAAAAUUCCUCUAUUAUUGCCUGUUAGACAAGAAGACCCUUAGAGUUUUUAUUAAAGACCCCCACUUAUGGGUUUAAUAUUUUUGUUGGGGCGACAAGGUAACAAACAAAUAUAACUUACCUCUUGAGUGAUAUUCGACGAAUAAUUUUAAGUGAAAUUAAACUACCUAAGGGAUAACAGCGUUAUAAAUUUAUUUGUUUGCGACCUCGAUGUUGGAUUAGGUAUUUAAAAGCCUAAAAGGCUCUUGAAUAAGUUCUGUUCGAACAUAUUUACCUACAUGAUCUGAGUUCAGACCGGCGU